UCAGCCUCAACCCCGCCAAAACGAGGGGGAGGGUCCUGUUGCUUUUUAUUGAAAGCCUCAAUUAAAAUUAAUCGGGGAGGGCAAUAAUAAGGAAGGAAAUGAAGGGAUGGAUAUAAAAGUAUAUGUGUACUGCGGUGUCAUUACUUGUCGGUGGCGAUUAAGGGAGUCCUGCUGUCUGGAAAUUGGCUUUGCCUCCCAGGAAACCUGAGGAAAGCGCUGCCCUAGUUAAUGCUGCCGUAGCUCUUGGGAGAGGCUUGGAAUGAGAUAGAUACAGGUUUUCUUUUGAAAUAUGCUCUUGAAUAAAUUAGUUCGCGUCCAGAAAUGGCAUCUGUUUUCCCUGGCUCAGAUAUUUUUCUAGAAAAAGUGUUUAGGUAUGCAGCUCACACGGAAAGGGGGACUAAUAUCUAAGCAGCUUUGAAAAUCGGCGCUGUGUUGUUUUGAGUUAGGACAGAAAUGCUGGUUUAAUUCCAAAGUUUGAAUACAGCAAUGCUGUGGGGUCAGUAAGCCCUGGAGAAGGAAAGGAUGGGCCCUUAGAUGUAGAAGUUAUGAAGUGGAAAAUUAAGUGUUUGGAAGAGUUAAGUGGCCUGGUGUUCAGUGCCACCAUCUAACAACAAAGCUUCUCUUUUAUUUUCAAGUCACUUGCUGAUUUAUCUCCAAUUCACAGCUCAUUAGAAGGUGUGUAACUCUUCAGAGAUGUUGUUAUUUAACAGGCGAAGAUAAAGCCUUGAAUGAGAAUCAGCCGGCGGAGCCACAAAGGGCAGCUGCAGUUUUUGCUGCCUGCACAGGAGGGUGCUCAGCCUCUGUCUUUAUCUGCAGGCAGGAGCAGCUCCCGUGCUCAUCAGGACCAGGUGGAGAAGCCGUUUCCUGAACCGGCCUUUGCUUGUAGUGACACUGGAGGAUCUGUUCAAUCCAGUGACUCAGAAAUUGUUCAGAUGUGCAGGAAUUUCGGGAGCUGAAAGUUAUUAUGUAAAAUGGGUAAAUUGGAGUCUUUAAAGGAGCUGCCAACUUGCAUUUGCCUGAGUUACUUCAGCAGUGGAGAGCAGAGGAAGAAUUCCAGACACGUCAUCCUGAUUUCACAAGUCUGCAGAGAUCUCAGAGUGGCCUUACCCAUCUGUGAGGAAGGCUAUACAUGCAAAUUCACAUUCCUGAAGCAUUCCCACUAACUCUGCCCUUCUGUUCUGGCAGAAUGAGGAAAAACUGUGGGCUGCCAAAAGGUGAAGACAACCACUUUAUCUGCAGGAGAAUAUUCAUUUAUGGCACUUCACUGGUGAUACAGGUUUGAAAUGGGAAAAUGGGCUUAAAGCCUUCUUCAGGAGAGAUUUACUCUCAGCUUUCUCCAGUGUGAUUGCUUUGAGUCUGUAAGGUCAUCAUGGUUGAAGGCAUGAGGAUGAGGACAUCAAAGCCUUUGCCCACUUAUGACAAUUACUCUGGAGACAAACACAGCUCAGAAGACAAAUGUUAUGAGCUACCUGUAAGUUCUGGUUCACAAAACAGAUGAGAAUCCAGAGAUACUCCUGAACUUGGAAAUGAAAUUUAUUCUCAAGAUUGUCUGUGAAAAUGAAAGAAUGGACAGCCUCAAAAAACUCCUUUUCCCUGCCCUGAAGAACUGCAGCCACAGUGUUUCAUGUGGAGGAGGACUCCUCAAAAAUCACCAGUUCCCCAAAGAAAGGAGGUUCUUAUUCAGUAAUUCAGGUGAAGCCUCAUCUUGAGCAGCCUUGGGAGGGCCAAAGGUGCUCCCUUUUCCAGUUCCCUGCCUGGCUUUUAGCAGAUACCAUUUUUUAGCAUCUCAACAAGGAAAUCACAGCAAUUUCCAUGGGAAGAAUCCCAGAGAUGACAGGGCUUCCCCCCAAAACACUGCCUGUGUAAUUGCUGAAGACAUUCCAAGCCCCUCUAACGAAGUGCUGUCUGCCAGUCAUUCUGUUCUCCUUGCAGGACCAUCUGUUGCACUUCAAAUAUGUAAAGGUCUCUAUCAUUUAUUGCUCCAAACAAAUCCAGGCCUUUGUCUGAUGUGCUGGAGCUCCUGAAUGGAUUCUCAAGGUGGUUUCAGUCACAAAGGGCAGGGUGUUCCCUUUG